GUAUGAAUGGGAUAUGUGAGUGGCAUCUGUCAACGCAAUGAUUGCUCAGAUUGAUUCAGCUGAUCUGACUGAACAAUCAAGUGCCUUCCUUCCCUUCCCUACUGAGGCUUAUUUGUCCCUCUUGAAAACUCCUAUUCAACCAAAGAGGACAAGGGUAGAAAAGGACCAAGUUGCAAGGCUGGUUCCCCAGCUUAUGUAUGAUUGGAUAUUUGCCAGGGUAAAUACAAUUCAAGGGCUAAAGAUGCAUAGAGGUGAUCUAGCCUUUU
rnacentral:sRNA from 1 species